UACGUAGGGGGCGAGCGUUAUCCGGAUUUAUUGGGCGUAAAGCGUGUGUAGGCGGUCUAUUAAGUUUAAGAUCAAAUCCCGGAGCUUAACUCCGGUCCGUCUUAAAAACUGGUAGACUUGAGUACAGUAGAGGCAAGUGGAAUUUCUAGUGUAGCGGUUAAAUGCGUAGAUAUUAGAAGGAACACCAGUGGCGAAGGCGGCUUGCUGGGCUGUUACUGACGCUGAGACACGAAAGCGUGGGGAGCAAAUAGGAUUAGAUACCC
rnacentral:rRNA from 1 species